rnacentral:rRNA from 1 species
ACGGAGGAUGCGAGCGUUAUCCGGAUUUAUUGGGUUUAAAGGGUGCGUAGGCGGCACGCCAAGUCAGCGGUGAAAUUUUCGGGCUCAACCCGGAAUCUGCCGUUGAAACUGGCGAGCUAGAGUGCACAAGAGGCAGGCGGAAUGCGUGGUGUAGCGGUGAAAUGCAUAGAUAUCACGCAGAACCCCGAUUGCGAAGGCAGCCUGCUAGGGUGCGACAGACGCUGAGGCACGAAAGCGUGGGUAUCGAACAG